CUGUGUUCAAACUCCUACGACUAAUGCUAAUGUGUUGAUGGUGGGCGGGGCUAAUAGGCUCAGUAUCUGUCCUUUGUGCGUAAACCCCAAAUGAAAGUAGAACGUCAGAAAAUGUUCCCAGUUCUACAUUACCUGACGAGUGCGUACGACUUUAUUCUCAUAAAUUCUAUUUUUCCUGCCCGUU